rnacentral:rRNA from 1 species
AGAGUUUGAUCCUGGCUCAGGAUGAACGCUAGCGGCAGGCCUAAUACAUGCAAGUCGAACGGUGUAGCAAUACAUAGUGGCGCACGGGUGCGUAACACGUAUGCAACCUACCUUAUACUGGGGGAUAGCCUUUGGAAACGGAGAUUAAUACCCCAUAGUACAUUUGAUUGGCAUCAAUUAAAUGUUAAAGAUUUAUCGGUAUAAGCUGGGCAUGCGUCCAAUUAGUUAGUUGGUGAGGUAAUGGCUCACCAAGACUUUGAUUGGUAGGGGAACUGAGAGGUUAAUCCCCCACACUGGCACUGAGAUACGGGCCAGACUCCUACGGGAGGCAGCAGUAGGGAAUAUUGGGCAAUGGAGGCAACUCUGACCCAGCCAUGCCGCGUGCAGGAAGAAGGCGUUAUGCGUUGUAAACUGCUUUUAUAUAGGAAGAAAUAGUCCUUGCGAGGAAAGUUGACGGUACUAUAUGAAUAAGCACCGGCUAACUCCGUGCCAGCAGCCGCGGUAAUACGGAGGGUGCAAGCGUUGUCCGGAUUUAUUGGGUUUAAAGGGUGCGUAGGCGGUUUAUUAAGUCAGUGGUGAAAGACGGUCGCUCAACGAUUGCAGUGCCAUUGAUACUGGUAGACUUGAGUGGGAUUGAGGUAGCUGGAAUGGAUAGUGUAGCGGUG